rnacentral:rRNA from 1 species
GUCUACAGGUAUAUCCCCCUGAAUGCCGAUCUCAUCUGAUCUCAGAAGCUAAGUAGCGUCGGGCCUGGUUCAUACUUGGAUGGGAGAAAAUGUAUCCAGUAAAUA